UUCUGGCUCAGGAUGAACGCUGGCGGCGUGCCUAACACAUGCAAGUCGAGCGAUUCUCUUCGGAGAAGAGCGGCGGACGGGUGAGUAACGCGUGGGUAACCUGCCUCAUACACAUGGAUAACAUACCGAAAGGUAUGCUAAUACAGGAUAACAUAAGAGAUUCACAUGGAUUUCUUAUCAAAGCUCCGGCGGUAUGAGAUGGACCCGCGUCUGAUUAGCUAGUUGGUAAGGUAACGGCUUACCAAGGCGACGAUCAGUAGCCGACCUGAGAGGGUGAUCGGCCACAUUGGAACUGAGACACGGUCCAAACUCCUACGGGAGGCAGCAGUGGGGAAUAUUGCACAAUGGGCGAAAGCCUGAUGCCAGCAACGCCGCGUGAGUGAUGAAGGCCUUCGGGUCGUAAAACUCUGUCCUCAAGGAAGAUAAUGACGGUACUUGAGGAGGAAGCCCCGGCUAACUACGUGCCAGCCGCUGC
rnacentral:rRNA from 1 species